GACGAACGCUGGCGGCGUGCUUAACACAUGCAAGUCGAACGGAAAGGCCCUGCUUGCAGGGUACUCGAGUGGCGAACGGGUGAGUAACACGUGGGUGAUCUGCCCUGCACUUCGGGAUAAGCCUGGGAAACUGGGUCUAAUACCGGAUAGGAGCCAUUUUUAGUGUGAUGGUUGGAAAGUUUUUUCGGUGUAGGAUGAGCUCGCGGCCUAUCAGCUUGUUGGUGGGGUAAUGGCCUACCAAGGCGGCGACGGGUAGCCGGCCUGAGAGGGUGGACGGCCACAUUGGGACUGAGAUACGGUCCAGACUCCUACGGGAGGCAGCAGUGGGGAAUAUUGCACAAUGGGCGCAAGCCUGAUGCAGCGACGCCGCGUGGGGGAUGACGGCCUUCGGGUUGUAAACUCCUUUCGCUAGGGACGAAGCUUUUUGUGACGGUACCUAGAUAAGAAGCACCGGCUAACUACGUG
rnacentral:rRNA from 1 species